UACGGAGGGCGCAAGCGUUGCUCGGAAUCACUGGGCGUAAAGGGUGCGCAGGCGGUCUAUUAAGUCAGAUGUGAAAGCCCGGGGCUCAACCCCGGAACUGCAUCUGAAACUGGCAGACUUGAGUAUGAGAGAGGAAAGUGGAAUUCCUGGUGUAGAGGUGAAAUUCGUUGAUAUCAGGAGGAACAUCAGUGGCGAAGGCGACUUUCUGGCUCAUAACUGACGCUCAUGCACGAAAGUGUGGGUAGCAAACAGG
rnacentral:rRNA from 1 species